UACGGGGGGAGCAAGCGUUGUUCGGAUUUACUGGGCGUAAAGGGCGCGUAGGCGGCCACCGCAAGUCAGUUGUGAAAUCUCUGGGCUUAACCCAGAAAGGUCAACUGAUACUGCGGGGCUAGAGUGCAGAAGGGGCAACUGGAAUUCUCGGUGUAGCGGUGAAAUGCGUAGAUAUCGAGAGGAACACCUGCGGCGAAGGCGGGUUGCUGGGCUGACACUGACGCUGAGCGCGAAGACUAGGGGAGCGAACGGG
rnacentral:rRNA from 1 species